rnacentral:rRNA from 1 species
CCUACGGGCGGCAGCAGUGAGGAAUAUUGGUCAAUGGACGCAAGUCUGAACCAGCCAUGCCGCGUGCGUGAAGACGUAUCUAUUAGUUGUAAACUGCUUUUGCACGGGGGAAAAUCCCGAUACCUGUAUAGGGUUGAAAGUAUCGUACGAAUAAGGAUCGGCUAACUCCGUGCCAGCAGCCGCGGUUAUCCGGAGGAUUCAAGCGUUAUCCGGAUGUAGUGGGUUUAAAGGGUGCGUAGGCGGUAGGCUAAGUUAGAGGUGAAAUCCGGGGGCUCAACUCCGGCACUGCCUCUGAUACUGUAGGGCUGGAGUGUAGGUGAGGUAGGCGGAAUGUAUGGUGUAGCGGUGAAAUGCAUAGAGAGCA